CCUACGGGUGGCAGCAGUGGGGAAUAUUGGGCAAUGUGCGCAAGCCUGACCCAGCAACGCCGCGUGAAGGAAGAAGGCUUUCGGGUUGUAAACUUCUUUUCUCCGGGACGAGGAAAGUGACGGUACCUGAGGAAUAAGUCACGGCUAAAUACGUGCCAGCAGCCGCGGUAAUACGUAGGUGGACAGCGUUAUCAGAAUUUAUUGGGUGUAACGGGCGUGUUGGCGGGAGCGGAAGUCAGAUGUGAAAACUCAGGGCUUAACCCUGGGCCUGCAUUUGAAACUGUGUUUCUUGAGUGCGGGGGAGGCAAUCGGAAUUCCGUGGGUAGCGGUGAAAUGCGUAGAUAUACGGAGGAACACCAGUGGCGAAGGCGGAUUGCUGGACAGUAACUGACGCUGAGGCGCGAAAGCGUGGGGAGCAAACAGGAUUAGAUACCCGAGUAGUC
rnacentral:rRNA from 1 species